rnacentral:rRNA from 1 species
CCUACGGGAGGCAGCAGUAGGGAAUCUUGGGCAAUGGGCGAAAGCCUGACCCAGCGAUGCCGCGUGUGCGAAGAAGGCCUUAGGGUUGUAAAGCACUUUCAGUCGUGAAGAAAAGCUACGAUUUAAUAUGUCGUGGUCUUGACGUUAGCGACAGAAGAAGUACCGGCUAACUCCGUGCCAGCAGCCGCGGUAAUACGGAGGGUACGAACGUUAAUCGGAAUUACUGGGCGUAAAGCGCGCGUAGGCGGUUUGAUAAGUGGGAUGUGAAAGCCCCGGGCUCAACCUGGGAACUGCAUUCCAAACUGUCAAACUAGAGUGUGGUAGAGGGCGGUAGAAUUUCCUGUGUAGCGGUGAAAUGCGUAGAUAUAGGAAGGAAUACCGAUGGCGAAGGCAGCCGCCUGGACCAACACUGACGCUGAGGUGCGAAAGCGUGGGGAGCAAACAGGAUUAGAUACCCCAGUAGUC